CAAUGAACGCUGGCGGCAGGCUACACAUGCCGCUUAAACGGUAACAGGAUGUGCUUGCACAUCGCUAACGAGUGGCGGACGGGUGAGUAAUGCUUAGUGGAUCUGCCUCUGUGUGGGGGAUAACUAUUGGAAACGAUAGCUAAUACCGCAUAAUGUUUACGGACCAAAGGGGGCGUUUGCUCCCGCGCAGAGAGGAACCUAAGUGAGAUUAGCUAGUUGGUAAGUGUAAUGGCUUACCAAUGGCGACGAUCUCUAGCUGUUCUGAGAGGAAGAUCAGCCACACUGGGACUGAAGACACGGCCAGACUCCUACGGGAGGAAGCAGUGGCGGAAUAUUGCACAAUGUGGGUGGAACCCUGAUGCAGCACAUGCCGCCAGUGUGUGAAGAAGCGCCUUCGGGUUGUAAAAGCACUAUUACAGUAUUGUGACGGAAAGGUUAGAUAUGUUCAUACCUGCUAGACUGUGACGUUAGCAAACAGAAGACAGCAACCGGGCGUUAACUCACCGG
rnacentral:rRNA from 1 species